rnacentral:tRNA from 1 species
GGACAGGUGGCCGAGCGGUUUAAGGCACUGGUCUUGAAAACCAGCGUGCGGGAAACCGUACCGUGGGUUCGAAUCCCACCCUGUCCGCCA